rnacentral:rRNA from 1 species
GGGAUCGAAGUGAUUAGAUACCAUCGUAGUCUUAACCGUAAACGAUGCCGACUUGCGAUUGUCCGAUGGUUUUUCUUUAGCCGUGGGCAGCAGCACAUGAGAAAUCAAAGUCUUUGGGUUCCGGGGGGAGUAUGGUCGCAAGGCUGAAACUUAAAGGAAUUGACGGAAGGGCACCACCAGGAGUGGAGCCUGCGGCUUAAUUUGACUCAACACGGGAAAACUUACCAGGUCCAGACAUAGGAAGGAUUGACAGAUUGAGAGCUCUUUCUUGAUUUUAUGGUUGGUGGUGCAUGGCCGUUCUUAGUUGGUGGAGUGACUUGUCUGGUUAAUUCCGUUAACGAACGAGACCUCAGCCUACUAAAUAAUGGACUCUUUCUAACAAAAGAGGAUUCAUUUCUUAGAGGGACAUUUCGGGUUUUACCGGAAGGAAGUUCGUG